rnacentral:lncRNA from 1 species
AUAGUGCAACAGCAGUGAUAUGUAAUUGUCUGCAUAUUUCUAAACUACACUUCAGAACAGCUUCCAGUAGCUUCCGAGCAGAGAUGCACGCACAGCUCUGGCAGAUGGUUUCUUCUGAGAGGAGAGAGGGCUCCUCGGACUAUCCAGGCCCCAUCCCAAAUACAGACCAGGCUGCUUGGCGUAUUGCAGCUCAACUACCUGCAAAAGCUCUCGAGUGGACCAGACCUGACUCUUUUCCCUGGCAGCAGAGGAUUUGAACAAAGCAGUGAAGCUCUGAAUAACCUUGAUAAAAUAAGACUGGGUCACGGUGCCCUUUGCAGUGGUAGAAAUCCCAGUAUUAGGUCAGGGUCCUGUAUUAUUACGCAGUGAACAGAUGUCCUGCAAUCAAUGUGGAGAAAACAGGCAUAGUAUGAGAAAUCAGAAAGAUUUGAGCUUGCUAGAGUUAAAGGAGAGGCCAGCUAGCUGUGUAUGUUCUAAGCCUGAAAGCAAUACUUUUAUUUACUGGCCAUAAUAAAGAAAAUACUAGUACCGUAAAUUACUACUGAUGUCAGUGAGAUCUUUUCUAGCCACUCACUUGGCCAGAUGGCCUUUAUAUUUUUUGCUGUAAAUUAUACCAGGUAACUCAAGAAACAUCUGUCUUCAUAUACAAAUGUAUUUCUCCUGUCUUCUUUCUCCUUUUUUUCCCUUUUAGGUUGCUUUGCAAUUCUCAGCUGAAAUAAAGAUGGCUUCAAGAGAGAGAGAUUCACACGCACAGAGGACUAUUCCCAAACCAAAAGCAUCCCUCCGCUUAACACAGCCCGAGAGAGGGCCAGGUAUCCGCUAUUUGCUGAGCCCAUGCUGAGAAAAUGAAAACCAUGCUGGCCUCCCACAUCUUCGUGAUGGAUAACAGUUUACUUCAGAGAAGCCAAGCCAAGCGUAGACAAAGAGAAAAGACGGAGGCCAGGAUCUUGAGGCUGCUCCGAGCUACAGAAGCCCACAGUCACCUCGAAAGCUGCGACUCCGCUGUCAGGAGGCAGGGGCAAAGGAAAUAAAUCAUCUGAUAUCCUGCCAGCAAACUGCCAGAGGCGCUUUGAGACUGGAGGAGUUUCUCCUGCCCUGAAAGAGCAUUAAAAAAAAAAAAAAAAAGUCGGCUGAUAACUUGGACAGGGUUCAGGUAUGUUUGUGCACAUACCAGCAGUUAAACUGAUUUCUUCUACUAUCUUAUCUGUCCAUUUCUGGUUU